UUAAACAGCCUGAGAUUCCUGGCAGCCA
rnacentral:piRNA from 1 species